GUGUCAGCAGCCGCGGUAAUACGUAGGGGCCAAGCGUUGUCCGGAAUUAUUGGGCGUAAAGAGCUCGUAGGCGGUUCGGUAAGUCGGGUGUGAAAUCUCCACGCUCAACGUGGAGGGGCCACUCGAUACUGCCGUGACUAGAGUCCAGUAGGGGAGUGUGGAAUUCCCGGUGUAGCGGUGAAAUGCGCAGAGAUCGGGAGGAACACCAGCGGCGAAGGCGGCACUCUGGGCUGGUACUGACGCUGAGGAGCGAAAGCGUGGGGAGCGAACAGGAUUAGAAACCCUCGUAGUCC
rnacentral:rRNA from 1 species